rnacentral:rRNA from 1 species
GAAAAUGGAUGGCGCUUGAGCGAGGGACCUAUACCCAGCCGUUGCUGGCUUGUGCGUUGUCUAGCGCCUGGCCGCAACGAGUAGGAGGGUCGUGGCGGUUGCGUCGAAGGCUUUGGGCGUAGGCCCAGCUGGAGCUUCCGUCAGUGCAGAUCUCGGUGGUAGUAGCAAAUAUUUAAGUUCGAUCCUUGAAGACUGAAGUGGAGAAGGGUUCCACGUGAACAGUAGUUGAAUGUGGGUCAGUCGAUCCUAAGAUACUGGCUUAUGCCUUGUAUCAUUGAGAGGGAAAAGUUUCUUUUCUCUCGGAUAUCAAAAGGGAAUAGGGUUAAUAUUCCCUAACGCAGACACAGAGAUUGCGGCUCUUUGAGUCGCUUGCGCGGUAACGCAUUCGAACUUGGUUACGUCGCUCAGAGACCGAGCUAGAGUUCUCUUCUCUAGUUAAGGAACGGACUCCCUGGAAUCGGUUCAGCCGUAGAUAGGGACGUUGUUUCCGUAAAGCAUCGCGGUUUCUGUGAUGUCUCGUGUUCUCUGGACGGCCCUUGAAAAACCAAGGAAGGCUAUCAAUCUGUGCUGCAUCGUACCGAUAUCCGCAUCAGG